rnacentral:rRNA from 1 species
GAACCGGACGAACGUUUAUUCGGAAUCACUGGGCUUAAAGAGUGCGUAGGCGGCUUGGUAGGUUGGGUGUGAAAUCCCACAGCUCAACUGUGGAACUGCGCUCAAAACCACCAGGCUUGAGGAAGGCAGAGGUGAGCGGAACUGAUGGUGGAGCGGUGAAAUGCGUUGAUAUCAUCAGGAACACCGGUGGCGAAGGCGGCUCACUGGGCCUUUUCUGACGCUGAGGCACGAAAGCUAGGGGUCGCGAACAGGAUUAGAUACCCUGGUAGUCCUAGCUGUAAACGAUGAGCACUUGAUCGAGGGGGACCCUCCACAUCCUCUCGGUCGUAGCGAAAGUGUUAAGUGCUCCGCCUGGGAGUAUGGUCGCAAGGCUG